rfam:Oryza sativa Japonica Group DNA, chromosome 12, cultivar: Nipponbare, complete sequence.
AAAAAGUCAAAACGUUGGGUUUACGUGCCAACGUUUAACUGUCUGUGUUAUAUAAAAUUUUUUUAUAAUUAGUAUUUUCAUUGUUGUUAGAUGAUAAAACAUGAUUAAUACUUUAUGCGUGACUUAUCUUUUUAAUUUUUUUCAUAUUUUUUUAAAAUAAGACAGAUGGUCAAACGUUGGACACGGAAAUCAAGGUUUGUCUUUUUU